rnacentral:tRNA from 1 species
GUUUAAGUAGCUUAAGUAAAAGUUUAACAUUGAAGCUGUUAAGAUAAGGAUUACCUUCUUAAACG